rnacentral:rRNA from 1 species
AACCUAUCCUUUGAGUGGGGGAUACCGCUGGAAACCGGCGCUAAUACCGCAUGUGGUUCUCUUUCCGAGAGGGGGAGAAAGAAAGCAGUGAUGCGCUCAGAGGAGGGGCCUGCGUCCGAUUAGCUAGUUGGUGGGGUAAUGGCGUACCAAGGCAUCGAUCGGUAGCUGGUCUGAGAGGAUGGUCAGCCACACUGGGACUGAGACACGGCCCAG